CAAAAAAGCUUGGUUAGUGUUUUGGAUUCAAAUAUGACUUGAUGUCAUGUGUAUGAGUGAGUAUAAAGACUAUAACCGCUACGGAUCUUAAAAGCCUAAGUAUUGUAUCCAUGUUAGAAGAUACAAAGACAAAUACUCAUAUGUACUUCGGCUAAACCAUCAAAGCUUUGAGUAGCAAAAAGAAGCUUGGUUAGUGUUUUUGAGUGAAAUAUGACUAGAUAUCAUGUGUAUGAGGGAGUAUAACAACUAGAACCGCAAUUAGAUUUUUAAAGCCUAAGUAUUGUAUCCUUGUUAGAAGAUACAAACACAAACACUCAUACGGACUUCGUCAACACCAUUAAAACUUUGAGAACCAAGAAGAAGCUUGGUUAGUGUUUUGGAGUCGAAUAUGACUUGAUGUGAUGUGUAUGAUUGAGUAUCGGAACUUAAACCGCAAACGGAUCUUAAAAGCCUAAGUAGUGUUUCCUUGUUAGAAGAUACAAAGCCAAAACCUCAUACGGACUUUAGUUACACCAUCAAUGCCUUGAGAAUCAAGAAGAAGCUUAGUUAGUGUUUUGGAGUCAAAUAUUAUUAGAUGUCAUGUGUAUGAGUGAGUAUGACAACUAGAACCAUAACCGGACCAUAAAAUCCUAAGUAUUGAAUCUUUUUAAGAAGAUACAAAGACAAAGACUCAUACGGACUUCGGCUACACUAUCAAUGCUUUGAGAAGCAAAAAAGCUUGGUUAGUGUUUUGGAUUCAAAUAUAACUUGAUGUCAUGUGUAUGAGUGAGUAUAAAGACUAUAACCGCUACGGAUCUUAAAAGCCUAAGUAUUGUAUCCAUGUUAGAAGAUACAAAGACAAAUACUCAUAUGUACUUCGGCUAAACCAUCAAAGCUUUGAGUAGCAAAAAGAAGCUUGGUUAGUGUUUUUGAGUGAAAUAUGACUAGAUGUCAUGUGUAUGAGGGAGUAUAACAACUAGAACCGCAAUUAGAUUUUUAAAGCCUAAGUAUUGUAUCCUUGUUAGAAGAUACAAACACAAACACUCAUACGGACUUCGUCAACACCAUUAAAACUUUGAGAACCAAGAAGAAGCUUGGUUAGUGUUUUGGAGUCGAAUAUGACUUGAUGUGAUGUGUAUGAUUGAGUAUCAGAACUUAAACCGCAAACGGAUCUUAAAAGCCUAAGUAGUGUUUCCUUGUUAGAAGAUACAAAGCCAAAACCUCAUACGGACUUUAGUUACACCAUCAAUGCCUUGAGAAUCAAGAAGAAGCUUAGUUAGUGUUUUGGAGUCAAAUAUUAUUAGAUGUCAUGUGUAUGAGUGAGUAUGACAACUAGAACCAUAACCGGACCAUAAAAUCCUAAGUAUUGAAUCUUUUUAAGAAGAUACAAAGACAAAGACUCAUACGGACUUCGGCUACACUAUCAAUGCUUUGA
rnacentral:sRNA from 1 species